AGAAACACCCAAGAAUUAUCAAUAAAAAAAUAAAUUUAAAAAAAAAAAAAAAAACAAAAACAAAAACAAACAAAAAAAAAAGCCUCAUUCAAUAACUUCUGCUUACAGCUCAUUGGGCCACUGCUAUCUGCAUUAAAUUAGGAAAUGUAGUCUUUUAGCUGAGCACAUUGUUACCCCCAAUAAAUAUGAAGGUAGGGGUUCUGUUAAAAAGAAGAAUAGAGCCAGGCACGGUGGCUCACACCUGUAAUCCCAACACUUUGGGAGGCUGAGGCAGGACAAUUGCUUAAGCCCAGGAGUUUUAGACCAGCCUGGGCAACAUAGUAAGACCCCUUCUCUACAAAAAAUAAAAACCAGCAGGGCAUAGUGGUGCAUACCUGUGAUCCCAGCUACUCGGGAGGCUCAGGUGGGAGGAUCACUGGAGCUGGGGAGAUGAAAGCUGCAGUGAGCCAAGAUCACGCCACUGUGCUCCAGCCUGGGUAACAGAGUGAGGCCCUGUCUCAAAAAGGAAGGAAGAAAGGAAGGAAGGAAGGAGGGAAGAAAGGGAGGGAGGGAGGGAGGGAGGGAGGGAAAGAAGAAUGAAGAUGAAUACUGAGACUGCAAUUAGCAGUCUCUGCCACAAUAACCAUGCUGCAUUUUCCAUCUGGUUUUUACUAAUUGCACAGGAAUUCUAGCCAUGCCCCCUUGCCCUUACCUCUUCACAGUCUGCAAACCAGACUGCUUCCCAAGUGCCAAAACUGGGGUCUUUUGUUUGCUGUUGAGACCUGCUUUGCCACCUGUAGGCCACAGAAUGAAUGCCCCUGAGAGCAGCUCUCAACUAGUAACUGACAAAAGUUGGUGGAUAAAUGCCCCAGCUCUCUCACCUUCCAAUGAGGGACUUCAGCCUACACCACACGGAACAGAAGAACUGCCCAGCUGAGCUCAGCCAACCAUAGAGUCAUGAGAAAUCAUCAUCAUUGUUCUCAGUCUCUGAGUUCUAGGACAGUUUGUUACUCAGCAAUAGGUAACUGAAAUGGGUGGAAUGGGAUAGAAAUAAAUCUUUGUUGCUUUAACGCCCCUAAAAUUUAGCCUAUCCUGACUGACUCACCCUCAUUGUAUUCACCCUCUGCUGAAAGCCAGGGGUUUAAAUCUCUGAGCAGGACAUCACCCUCAAACAAAUGUGGUUUACUUGGUCUUGUGGAAGACACAGGAUUUGCCAGCUAUGUACGGUCAAGAUCAAUAGCAAGUCUAAAUGGCUUUAUGUAAAGGGAAACAUGUUCUGUGGCUGGGUUUGGUGGCUCAAGCCUGUAAUAUCAACACUUUGGGAGGCCAAGGCAGGAGGAUCGCUUGAACCCAGAAGUUCCAGACCAGCCUGAGUAACAUGGUAAAACCCCGUCUGUACAAAAAAAAAAAAAAAAAAAAAUUAUUAGCCAGGGGUGUUGGUGCCCAUCUGUAAUCCCAAUUCCUCAGGAGGCUGAGGCGGGAGGAUUGCUUAAGCCCAGGAAUUCAAGACUGCAGUGAGCCAGGAUCGUGCCACUACAUUCCAACCUAGGUGACAGAGUGAGACACUGCUCAAAGGAAAAAAAGAAAAGAAAAAGUGUUCUGCCCUUUUAUUAUGCUGGUGAUAUCCAAACAUAAUUAUCUUGCCAUAUUCAAGGUCCUAAAAGGCAAGUCUCUCUCUACUUUCCAGUAGAAAUAAUAAGCCAUGUGUUGGUGCUCACCUAUAUGUUCCCCUACAUUUCCCAGAAUCCCUUGCAGAUGAGACAGACCCAUAUGACUCAUUCUAGCCAAUGGAUUAUCGCCACUGGGAUGAGGCAGUUAAGAGCUGAUACAUUCCUCUGUCCUUCUCUUUCCUCCCUGAGGUGAUUUUGGAAGCCUUGUGAGAGAUGGUGCUGUUGCAAAAUGGAGGAAGACUGGAUCUCUGCAUCACCGCUUGGAGGCGAGCCCCUGCUAACUAGCUUACAGGAAUAAGAAACAAACUUGUGCUGUAUAAAGCUACCGAAGUUUCUGAUUUGUUUGUUAUUGGUACUGAAUAUAGCCUUAUGCUGUCUAGCAAGCAUCAUUUCUGGAAAAAGGAUGAAUUCUCAGGGAAUCUUGCAAACAUUACAUGUCAUUAUCCCCAGCUACAAUUUGCAUAAUUCAUUUUCUGAGGGGAACUCACAGAACUUAGCAAAGAACUACCAAAGAUAGGUAGGCAGCACUUUGCUGAUCCCAUUUGUUUGAGAAGAAAAACAAUUUUGAGACAGAGUCUCACUCUUUUGCCCAGGCUGGAGUGCGAUGGUGCAAUCACAGCUCACUGCAGCCCCAAUCUCCUGGGCUCAAGCAAUCCUCCUGCUUCAGCCUCCUGAGUAGCUGGGACUACAGGCACACACCACCACACCCAGCUAAUUUUUCUGUAUUUUUGUAGAGACAGGGUUUCACCAUGUUGCCCAGGCUGGUCUUGAACUCCUGGGCUCAAGUGAUCCACUCACCUCAGCAUCCCAAAAUGCUGAGAUUACAGGAGUGAGCCACCUUGCCUUGUGGAAAAUUUAUUUAUUAUGUGAUGAAUAUCAAGCUUCUUUGUAAAGAGGAUAUAGCUAAGAGCCUCUCCUAGCAGUGAUGUACAUAAGUCACUCCGCCCAUGUAAGACGCAGUUUCCCCAUUUGGAAGGCUGGAUGGAAAGGUCUCUGCAAUCUAUCCCCUCAUCAAAAAAAAUUUUUGGCCAAGCAAGGUGGCUCAUGACUAUAAUCCCAGCACUUUGGGAGGCCAAGGCGAGAGGAUCGCUUGGGGCCAGGAGUUAAAGACCAGCCUGAGUAACAUAGUGAGACACCCAUCUCUACAAAAAAGAAUGUUUUCAUUAGCCCAGUGUGGCAGCGCAUGCCUGUAGUCCCAGCUACUCAGGAGUCUGAGGAAGGAAGAUCCCUUGAGUGCAGGAGUUCAAGGCUGCAGUGAGCUAUGAUCACACCACUGCGCUCUAGCAUGGGCAACAGAGUGAGACCCUCUCUUUAAAAAAAAAAAAAAAAAAAAAAAGAGCCAGGCACAGUGGCUCACGCCUGUAAUCCCAGCACUUUGGGAGGCUGAGGCAGGCGGAUCACCUGAGGUCAGGAGUUUGAGACCAGCCUGGCCAACAUGGUGAAACCCCAUCUCUACUAAAAAUACAAAAAUUAGCCCGGCAUGGUGGCAGACACCUGUAAUCCCAGCUACUUGGGAGGCUGAGGCAGGAGAAUCACUUGAACCCAAGAGGCUGAGGUUGCAGUGAGCCGAGAUCACGCCACUGCACUCCAGCCUGGGCGACAGAGCGAGACUCUGUCUCAAAAAUAAAUAAAUAAAUAAUUCUUUUUAAAAAACACGCUAAUUCUAGUUUCAGUCUGGAUGAUAAUUUGGGGAAGAGAAGCAGAGAGGAAAAUUUGGAAUUAAUUCCCUCCAUGUGGCAACCCCUGAAGAUCACAAAAAAGUUACAGUGAGAAUGGGAGCAAGGAUUCUAAAACUUCCCCACUCCUGGGGAACCUGCUGUCCUAAAUUUAAACUUGGAAGAGAUUUUGGCAACACCCUCCUGCCUCUUUCUGCCAACAAACUCACUGAAAUUAACAAAUGGCCUGUUUGCUUAUGUUUGGUCUGUCCUUAGCGCAGAAACGGUUCUCUGCGCCCACAACUGAUUAUAUCCAAAUUUACUUCCAGUUUUUCCUCUCCUCUCCCCUGUUGGGUUGUGUCCUCAGUUUGAAAGGUCACAUUCAUCAAAUUAGAACAUGAAAGGUUGGCACACAGACAUUUCGUGUGAAUGCCUAAAUGCCUGGAGCAGGAUAAGAAGUUAAAAGAAAAAAAAAAACUUUUGCAAAAGAAAAAUAAUUAUCAUAACAGCUCAGGCACAGUCCUAGAGGUUUACAUAUAUUAAAUUUAGCAACAUUGGACUUUUUUAACAGCCUGAUUUUCUCUGCCGUGCAUGAUUUCCUUUGCCCAAACAAACCAUUGCAACAAAUUUGUAAUGCAUAGAAAUGCAGCUAUCGGCCGGGCACAGUGGCUCACCCCUGUAUUCCCAGCACUUUGGGAGGCCGAGGCGGGCAGAUCACCUGAGGUCAGGAGUUCAAGACCAGCCUGGCCAGCACAGCAAAACCCCAUCUCUACUAAAAAAACAAAAAAUUAGCCGGGCAUGGUGGCAGACGCCUGUAAUCCCAGCUACUCGGGAGGCUGAGGCAGGAGAAUUGCUUGAACCGGGGAGGCGGAGGUUGCAGUGAGCGGAGAUCUCGCCAUUGCGCUCCAGCCUGGGUGACAAGAGCAAAAAUCUAUCUCAUAAUAAUAAUAAUAAUAAUAAAUUUUUAAAAAAUAAAAUAAAAUAAAAAUGCAGCUAUCAUCCUAAAAUGUAAAAUGUGAGAAGUGGUGAUCGAAAAUAACAAAAACAAGCCAGCGCGACUGGUCGCCUUCAAACUCUUUAAAAGCAUCAAGGUCAUAGAAGAUGAGGAAAGGCAGGGGAAUGAUCCCACGCUGAAAGAAGC
rnacentral:lncRNA from 10 species